rnacentral:lncRNA from 1 species
CCGGGGCUCGGAGAUCGGGCCGGAGGUCGGCGCCUGGGGCCGGAUCGGCGCCGACGGUCGAAUCAAGUUAAACAGUACCUUCAGAGAGAGAGAGACGGAGAGAGAAAAUGUUAUCACUUCAAUUUCACUUAAACUAUCUCCAAAUAUAGAAGGUCCAGAAAGAUAACAACACAAUGUGGUAAAUCAAGAUAAUAAGCAACCAAUAUAACUAUUAUAUGAAGACAAAUGAUUAAUAAUAUGAAAGAUUGAAGAGACGGCAGAGGCAACGGAGUCCCAACAAGGUAACAUAUAAUCGAGAAAAAUAGAUCAAUCAAUUUCUCGUGAAAAGUUUGCUGAAGCUAUUAUUGAGCAUUAUUUUCCUUAUUCUUUUGCUGAAUAUAAAAAAAAUUAGAGCCUGGGCAGAUUAUGUAAAUCCAGAAAUAAUAAUGCCGUCAAGGAACAUUGCUGUUGUGGAUGUCCAAAAAGUGUAUUUCAAGGAGAAAGAAAAAUUAAGACAAGCCUUGGCUAAGAUUCCUAAUCGAGUUUGCUUAACUUCUGAUUGCUGGACAACACGUACAUUUGAGGAUUAUCUUUGUUUAACUGCUCAAUAUUUACUAAAAUUUUAAACUUUUGUCGUAUGAUUUCUCCUCAUACUAGAGUUGAAUUGGCUGCAACGAUAUAUGAGCAUUGAUAGGAAGGUGUUCUCGAUCACUUUGGAUAAUGUCACUAAUAAUGAUAGCCUGCAAACUAUUUUAAAAGGCCAUCUUCAUUUGCAAAAGAAUUUAUUAUGUGAUGAUGAGUUUUUUCAUGUGCGUUGUUCUGCUCAUAUUUUUAAUUUGAUUAUCUAAGAAGAUUUAAAAAUAGCUACUGAUGCCUUGUUUAGAAUCGGAGAAAGUGUGAUGUAAAAGGAUCUGAUAGUAGAAUGUGAAAAUUUAAACAAUGUGUUAAGCAAGUGGAAAUUAAUACAAAUUUGAAUUUAUGUUUGGAUGUAAUAACCAGAUGGAACUCAAUGUAAUUGAUGCUUGAGAGUGCACUACAAUAUGAAAAAACUUUUUCUAGUUUACAGUUGAUUGACAGGAACUACUCUCUUUGUCCAACAUUUGAUCAUCAGAGAAGGGCAGAAAAAAUAUUUGAAUUCUUGAAACCUUUUUAUAAAAUAACUAACUUGAUUUUUGGUUCAAGUUAUCCAACUUUCAACUUGUAUUUUAUGCAAGUUUAAAAAAUUGAAUGUUUACUGAAGGAGAAUUCAAGUAGUUUGGAUGAAGUUAUUAGGGAAAUGACUACAAGAAUGUUCAAAAAUACUGGAAUAGAUUUAGUCUAGUACUCUCAUUUGGAGCUAUUCUUGAUCGUCGCUUCAAGAUGCAACUUUUAGAAUUUUGUUUCUCAAAGGUGGAUGCGUCUUCGGCAAAAGAAAAAGUUGCAGAUAUUGAGAAAAAAUUGUAUAAGCUUUAUGAACAAUAUGAAAAUAAUCAAAUUCGGACAACUAUUCAUGUUCAAAGCAAACCAACUGGAGAAGGAAGUCAAUUCAAAUAAAGAAGUCCACUUUGUUUGCUGUAAGUAUUAAUUUUAUUUUCUUUUAUCUAAUCUUCUUGUCCUUAACCUUACGGCAAAACAAUGCCAAACACAACAUACCAUAAAUCCAUAAAUCUGAAAAAAAAAAAAAGUAAAAAAAGAUUAGAUAAAAGAAAAAAAAAUUAAUACUUACAACAAAUAAAGUGGACUUCUUUUGUUGGAAUUGACUUUCUUCUUCAGUUAGUUUUUGAACAGGAGUAGUCCGAAUUUGAUUAUUUUCAUAUUAUUCAUAGAGCUUGUGCAAUUUUUUUUCAAUCUUUGCAACUUUUUCUUUUGCCGAAGACGCAUCCAUCUUUAAGAAACAAAAUUCUAAAAGUUGUGUCUUGAGGCGAGGAUCAAGAAUAGCUCAAAAUGAGAGUACUAGACUAAAUCUAUUUCAGUAUUUCUAAAACUUUUUGAACAUUCUUGUAGUCAUUUCCCAAAUAACUUCAUCCAAACUACUUGAAUUCUCAUUCAGAAAGCAUUCAAUUUUUCAAACUUGCAUAAAAUACAAGUUGAAAGUUGGAUAACUUGAACCAGAAAUCAAGUUAGUUAUUUCAUAAAAAGGUUCCAAGAAUUCAUAUAUUUUUUCUGCCCUUCUCCAAUGAUCAAAUAUAGGACAAAGAGAGUAGUUCCUGUCAAUCAACUGUAGAUUAGAAAAAGUUUUUUCAUAUUGUAGUGCACUCUCAAGCAUCAAGUACAUUGAGUUCCAUGUGGUUAUCACAUCCAAACGUAAACCCAAAUUUGUACUAAUUCCCACUUGCUUAACAUAUUGUUCAAAUUUUUUCAUUCUACUAUCAGAUUCUUUUACAUACUUCACACUUUUUCUGAUUCUAAACGAGACAUCAGUAGCUGUUUUUAAACCUUCUUGGACAAUUAAAUUAAAAAUAUGAGCAGAACAACGCACAUGAAAAAACUCACCAUCACAUAAUAAACUCUUAAGCAAAUCAAGAUGGACUUUAAAAAUAGUUUGCAGGCUGUCAUUAUUAGUGACAUUAUCCAAAGUGAUAGAGAACACCUUCCUAUCAAUGCCCCACUCCAUCAAACAAUCAUAUAUAUCGUUGCAGCCAAUUCAACUCAAUUCAACUCCAGUAUGAGGAAAAAUCAUAUGACAAAAGUUUAAAAUUUUAGUAACUAACUUUCAAUUAUCAUCAACAUAUUGAGCUGUUAAAUAAAGAUAACCCUCAGACCUACCUGUUGUCCAGCUAUCAGAAGUUAAGCAAACUCGAUUAGGAAUCUUGGCCAACGCUUGUCUUUAACUUUUCUUUCCCCUUGAAAUACACUUUUUGGACAUCCACAACAACAGUGUUUCUUGACGGCAUUAUUAUUUUUGAAUUUACAUAAUCUGCCCAGGCUCUAAUUUUUUUAUAUUCAACAAAAGAAUAAGGCAAAUCAUGCUCAAUAAUAGCUUCAGCAAGCUUUUCACGAGAAAUCGAUUGACCUAUUUUUUCAUGAGAAAUCAUGCUGAUCCAUAUACAUCUAACCCAAAUCAUGAUAUUUGAU